rnacentral:tRNA from 2 species
UGCCCUAUGGCUCAGUUGGUUAGCGCGUGGAGCUGUUAUAUCCGAGCAACUCCGAGGUCCACGGUUCGAGUCCGUGUGGGGCAG